UCCCUGGUGGACUAGUGGCUAGCAUGCGGCGCUCUCAUGGCCGUAGUCUGGGUUUAAUUCCCGGUCAGGGAA
rnacentral:tRNA from 1 species